CCUACGGGAGGCUGCAGUGGGGAAUAUUGCACAAUGGGCGCAAGCCUGAUGCAGCCAUGCCGCGUGUGUGAAGAAGGCCUUCGGGUUGUAAAGCACUUUCAGCGGGGAGGAAGGCGUUAAGGUUAAUAACCUUGGCGAUUGACGUUACCCGCAGAAGAAGCACCGGCUAACUCCGUGCCAGCAGCCGCGGUAAUACGGAGGGUGCAAGCGUUAAUCGGAAUUACUGGGCGUAAAGCGCACGCAGGCGGUCUGUCAAGUCGGAUGUGAAAUCCCCGGGCUCAACCUGGGAACUGCAUUCGAAACUGGCAGGCUAGAGUCUUGUAGAGGGGGGUAGAAUUCCAGGUGUAGCGGUGAAAUGCGUAGAGAUCGGGAGGAAUACCGGUGGCGAAGGCGGCCCCCUGGACAAAGACUGACGCUCAGGUGCGAAAGCGUGGGGAGCAAACAGGAUUAGAUACCCGGGUAGUC
rnacentral:rRNA from 1 species